UACGAAGGGGGCUAGCGUUGCUCGGAAUCACGGGGCGUAAAGGGCGCGUAGGCGGCGGUGUAAGUUGGAAGUGAAAUCCCAUCGGCUCAACCGUGGAAUUGCUCCCAGUACUGCAUCGCUCGAGGGGGAUAGGGGUCUGCGGAACUACCGGUGGAGCGGUGAAAUGUGUUGAUAUCGGUGGGAACGCCAGUGGCGAAAGCGGCAGACUUGACCCUUCCUGACGCUGAGGCGCGAAAGCUAGGGGAGCAAACGGG
rnacentral:rRNA from 1 species